GGGGCUUUGGGGACAGUGUGCACCCACAGAGUGGCCUUCUUCCGACCUUCCUCCUCCUGGUCCCCAUCUCCCAAGAGGGCCUCUGGAAACAGCGAUUCCGAGAAUCAGCCCUGGGGACCCCGUGCCACCCAGACUGGGAGCUUUGCUGUGCUGUGUGACCACGGGGUCUGUGUUGAGGUCGGAAAGCUGGCUCACAAGUAUGUUUUUUGGCCCUAAUGGGUGGUUCAGACUCCAGGCUUGAGGUGGCACAGAAGCACAGAUACCUCCUCCAGGACCGACCCAUAUGCUGUCACUGCUGGUCAAGAGGCUGGCCCCACCCUUCACGUAUCCUCAGCACCUUUGGUCACAGGACCUGGCUGAGCAGAGCUGCCAGUGUAGAGCCUGACGUGGGCUGGAGUCCUGCAUUUGUCACCUUUCCUUCUAGACCAAACUUUCAAAAUGCAGCAGAGAGGAGCUGUAUGGCCAGUUGGG
rnacentral:lncRNA from 1 species